ACAGGUUUUUAUCUAAUAAUAAUAAAUAUCAAAAUCAAAAUCAAUGAAAGUUCAUUUGAUUACAGUACAUUCCAUUUGCAGAGAAGCCAAGAGGCACGUAAACCUAGGAACAAAGAGAGAAUAGAAAAGCCAUUGGGACAGAAAUGGCCUUGUCUGGUACAGUAUUACGCUUAUAGGAGAGAGUGACGUGUUUCCUCCACUACUUCUGGUUCCAUUCUGGAGUCAGAGGUCCAUUCAUUUCAAUGGAGCUUGUGUUUUGACUAUACAUAAUGCACGAAAACAAUCAAUAAUUUUGAGGAGGGUAGAUAUACAGAUAUUUUGCUCAUGGUUUUUAAAGCAGUGUGUCACUUCACCAUGUUUAUUCAUCUCAAAGUGCUUUAGAAAUGUGUUCCAUUGAAAUGAAUGGCUCUGGAAGUAGACAUAUGAAGACAGGUUAGAUUCACUACUUCUUGUUCUCCCAGCGUACCCAGCAAACAGGGGUCGUCCUGAGGACAUUCGACAACGUUCCCAUUAGUUCCCUUAAGGGUUUCGGCGCAAUGUUAUCCCACUGACGUUCUGAGAAUGUUCUAAGAAUGCUGUGUGAUGGUCCGAAGGGUAGUUCCCUGUAAGUUACCAGAACAUCACUGAAGACCCUGUCAGGACCAUGUUAGGACCUUUUUAGGACGUUCUCAGGACUUUCAUUUUACUAGUCCUUAGGAUGUUGCAUGAUGGUCCCAAGGGAAAGUUCUCUGGGGGACCUUUUUGUCGUUCCCGGGUUUGUGCCGUGGACGUUUUUAGCAAGUUCUUGGGAUGUUGUGUCAUGGUCCCCUGGAGAUCUUGUUCCCUUAGAGGUUUUUGUCACGUGAUGGUCCCAUGUGUCCCAAACCAUUAUAAGUAAAAAAAAUUGUAAAGGUAAGUGGUAACGCUGUUCAGCAAAAAUGAUGUACAAAUCUUUAAUCAAUGACAAUAUGAUUAGAUUUAACAUGAUCACUUAGUACUGACUUUCCAAUAUGACCCCACCUGGGAUUUGAACUCAGAACCUCUGGAUUUGGGGUAUGCUGAUCUUUCUGACACAAAAUCCCAAGAACGUCCUAAAAACGUCCUCAGGGUCAACUGGGAACUAGACAAAACCUCCCGGGAACCAUGACACAACAUCCCAAGAACGUCCUAAAAACAUCGUUUGGGAUGUCCCCGGGACCAACCGGGUACUAGACAAAACCUGAUGACGUCCUGAUGACUUUAGGCAUCCCGGGGACGUGCUAACGACUCAUUCUUGUUUGCAGGGCAGCCUACUCACCAACACAGCCACAUUCACCACCACAUACAAAGCUCCCCUCAAAGAAAGAGCAACCCUUACCCCUGCAGUCCACGAGGUACAAAAAUACAUCUUUAGUAUCGAUACAUUCAUAUCAUUUUUCUUCUUCUCUUGGUCUAUUGAAACGUGUAAAUAUUUCCUUUUAUUCUGAUUGGUCUCGGACAUGGAACUCCGAGGCAGUCUGUUACACAGGAGGAUGGUGGCACUUUAAUUGGGAGGACGGGCUCGUGUUAAUGGUCGGACUAGGAUAGGUGGAAUGGUAUCAAAUACACCAAACGCGUGGUUUCCAUGUGUUUCAUGCCAUUCCAUUCACUCCGUUACAGCCAUUAUUAUGAGCUAUCCUCUCCUCAGCAGCCUCCACUGAUCUCUUACCAAUGGGAGACGUAUUGGGAAAAUAUGCCUAAUAGGUCUAAUGAGUCAUUAACCAAUAACCUAUUGGGAUUGUGCUGCUGGCGUUUAACUACAGGGGUGUCUCUUGCUACUUGUGUCUAAAACUUGCCAAUGUUUUUAUAUCAAAAGACCCCGUCCCUAUAAAUAUGUGUUGAUAAAUGCCAAGUUCACUAAUUAAAGAAUGAACUGUGUUUCCUUUAAAUAGAUAAAUGGCAAGCUGGAUUUCCAUAGAGUGACAUGCAGCAUGUUAAUGUCUCUACAGGCACUACUCAAAAGGCUUAGAGAGGCAUGCACACAGACAGACAGACAGACAGACAGACAGACAGACAGACAGACAGAGAGAGAAAGAAAAUGACAGAGAAAGAAAGGGAGCGAUUUGCGUUGAGAAAGAAAGACCGAGAGUCGCCUCGCUGUGCACAGUAUGACAGACAACAGCAGGGGCUGUGUCGCUCCAGGCACACCCCGAGGGACCGCCACGAAAGACCAGACUCCAACAAUCCACCCUUUCUUUCUCACAGCAUAGCCUCAGUCCAUCCUAUACCCAUCAAACCAGCACCUACCUACCAGCCCCAAAACACCAGCACCUAGCAACCCACCAACCAGCCCCCCCAACCAGCCCAUACAAACCAGCCCCUACCAACUAGGACCUACCAACCCGUCAACCAGCCUUUACCAACCAGGCCCUAUCAACCCACCAGCCAGACCCUACCAAACCACCAACCAGCCCCUACCAACCAGAUCCUACAAACCCACCAACCAG
ensembl:lncRNA